rnacentral:rRNA from 1 species
GUGAGGAAUAUUGGACAAUGGGCGCAAGCCUGAUCCAGCCAUGCCGCGUGCAGGAAGACGCAUCUAUGGUGUGUAAACUGCUUUUGUACGGGAAGAAACACUCCCUCGUGAGGGAGCUUGACGGUACCGUAAGAAUAAGGAUCGGCUAACUCCGUGCCAGCAGCCGCGGUAAUACGGAGGAUCCAAGCGUUAUCCGGAAUCAUUGGGUUUAAAGGGUCCGUAGGCGGUUUAAUAAGUCAGUGGUGAAAGCCCAUCGCUCAACGAUGGAACGGCCAUUGAUACUGUUAGACUUGAAGUACAAGGAAGUAACUAGAAUAUGUAGUGUAGCGGUGAAAUGCUUAGAUAUUACAUGGAAUACCAAUUGCGAAGGCAGGUUACUACUUGUGGAUUGACGCUGAUGGACGAAAGCGUGGGGAGCGAACAGGAUUAGAUACCCCAGUAGUCC